AUUGGGUUAAUGUAGAAAAAUAUAAAUGUACUCAAACAUUUGGAAAGGGCAUGUAUGGCUUGUCUGACUUGGGGGGAAAAAACCUCAAAACAUCUGUUUUUAUAUGGUCACUGUUGGUAGUGGGGAAUCUCUUCAAAGUAGUUCAAACAUUUGGUUGAAAAUGGACAAAUAUACAAUCAAAUAUGUAUAUUUUUCAGUACCUGAAUAGAUAAUAUGAUAGACAUAAUGUUGCCAUGAUAAACAGAUUUUCCUAUAGUGAAUCUAAAACAACCCAGUAUUUACCAAGCAGAGGGACACUCAGACCUGAGUGACUUUUAAGUUAUAUCUUCGAUUUUUAAAGAACUUUGAUGAUUUUAUUGAUAAUGAGUAUGACACAUAGGAUUUCUUUCUGUCUUUUUUACACAAAGGUUUCAGCAAACUGAUUUUCAGGGAAGAGGUGUGAGCUAAAAGAGAAGUGAAAUAGUUGUUUGUUAUUAAACAAACAUGCUUUUUUAUUGAAUUAACAUGUUUAUGCAUAUUUGACACUCAGGUUUAUUGAUAUGUUCUGCUUUUUCUAAGAUGAAUCCUGUGACAAAUGACAGAAUAAAGAUUGCACGUCACUAUCUCUGUUCUAUCUAUGUACUGCCACUGGGCAAAGAUUUCUCAUUUCAUACAUCAUUUACAACUUCCUAAAGUAAUUUUACACAGCUCAUAUCCUCAGAACCAGGCACAGCAAUUAUCUCUACCCAUAUAUGCAUGCACAGGCAUACUGAAUGUAAAGACUGCAAUUCUACACAGGCUCCCAGAGUUCACAACUCUACAUAAGAAAAGUAAGUAAUAACUAUUAAGUAUCAUCCAAUUAAAUAAUUCUUUUCUUUUUUUAGUUCACCCAGAACUACAAGCUUCUAAUGGUUAUUUCAGAAGAUUUGCUUUUGGAGAAGUCUUUAAUCAUAAAGUCUCAGAGCUGGAAUGAAUCUCAGAAGUACAAAUGACAUUUAAAAAUCCCCACUAGAAGAUUUUAGAUGAAUAAUCAUUUAGCCUUUGAAGAUCUUCAAUGAAGCAGAUUCCAUUAUCUGAAUACAACAACAGAACUACUUCAACCAGUUACUCUCUCAGGUGGCUGACGAGGUGAUGUAGUAGAUGAAGACUAAGCCUGGAGUCAAGAAGGCUUGAGUUCAAAUUCAGCCUGAGGAACCUAUUACCUAUGUGGCCCCAGACAAGCAAAAUGACUACUCCUUGAGGGCAAGAAUGGACUUGUCAUGGUUUGGAUCUAGCCCGAGAACCCAGCUGAGUUCCUGAACAUAAAAGGCUUAUGGAAUGCUUGUUGAGUGAAGAUUAAAAUGUUUGCUCCAACUUAAGGUGAAGAGAAUGGAGUUUCUAGACUUGGGAGCUUGAGGAGACUUCUAGAAUGUGGGUUUCAGAGUCACUGAACAUUGAUGCCCCAGGAGCAAGGAUUCACCUUUGGUGAUUUAUCUUCUGGACACUGGCCAAUGGAAUGUGAGACGAAGACUCAUCUGGCAGUUGUGCCAUAACUGGACAUGAACUUAAGGAAGUCAAUGGUUUUAUUGAAAUUUAAAUUGUAUAUGUGUAUAUGCACAUAUACAUACACAUAUAUGUAUAUAUACUUAUAAAUGUGUAUCAUAUCAUUAUGAUAGCAUUACUUGAUCACUGUAGUGAAUGUGAAACAGCUUUAUAACUAGGUUUGAGUGUUUACAGAGGACAUCAGAGUCACUCUGCCAUUCACCAGACACUAUUAUACAUUAAACUAAAAAUUAAGGAUAUAUAUGUAUAUAUUAUAUAAUAUAUAAUAUGUAUAUUUAUAGUUAUAUGUUGAGUAGACUUUUCUUCCAUUCUCAUCCCACUCUAUGGGACCUAGGUAGUAUCAGAGAGAAAGAGAAUAUGUUCCCAUGAUUUUUGGAGAAGUGGUUUUUGGUCCACUCUUUAUUUGUUCACCCUAUAUCACCAAAAUAAAUAUCCUGUAAUAAAAACUAAUUGAUGCUAAGUGGUUAACUGGAAUUGUUAAGAUUCCUCUAGCAAUGGAAAGAAUACUUCAGUGUUUAUAGCUUGAGUUUAUAGCAGCUUAAAGAGAUCACAGUAAACUCCUCAAGGUACCCUGGAAUACUGAAAGGUAAAGGUAAGCUACCUGGACCUGGGAAAGAGAUGGUCAUAUUCUCCAAAUUUAAUAUGGAC